UACGUAGGGUGCGAGCGUUAAUCGGAAUUACUGGGCGUAAGCGUGCGCAGGCGGUUUUGUAAGCCAGAUGUGAAAUCCCCGGGCUUAACCUGGGAAUGGCAUUUGGGACUGCAAGGCUGGAGUGCGGCAGAGGAGACUGGAAUUCCUGGUGUAGCGGUGAAAUGCGUAGAUAUCAGGAGGAACACCGAUGGCGAAGGCAGGUCUCUGGGCUGACACUGACGCUCAUGCA
rnacentral:rRNA from 1 species